rnacentral:rRNA from 1 species
UACGUAGGGUGCAAGCGUUAAUCGGAAUUACUGGGCGUAAAGCGUGCGCAGGCGGUUGUGCAAGACAGAUGUGAAAUCCCCGGGCUCAACCUGGGAACUGCAUUUGUGACUGUACGGCUGGAGUGCGGCAGAGGGGGAUGGAAUUCCGCGUGUAGCAGUGAAAUGCGUAGAUAUGCGGAGGAACACCGAUGGCGAAGGCAAUCCCCUGGGCCUGCACUGACGCUCAUGCACGAAAGCGUGGGGAGCAAACAGG